rnacentral:rRNA from 1 species
CCCGCACAAGCGGUGGAGUAUGUGGUUUAAUUCGAUGCAACGCGAAGAACCUUACCAGGGCUUGACAUCCCCUGACCGCGUAUGAAAGUACGUUUUCACCCUCGGGUGACAGGGAGACAGGUGGUGCAUGGUUGUCGUCAGCUCGUGUCGUGAGAUGUUGGGUUAAGUCCCGCAACGAGCGCAACCCCUACGUUUAGUUGCUAACGCGUGAAGGCGAGCACUCUAGACGAACUGCCGUUGACAAAACGGAGGAAGGUGGGAUGACGUCAAAUCAUCAUGCCCCUUAUGUUCUGGGCUACACACGUGCUACAAUGGCCGGUACAGACGGACGCAAAGCCGCGAGGUGGAGCAAAUCCUAAAAAGCCGGUCUCAGUUCGGAUUGCAGGCUGCAAUUCGCCCGCAUGAAGUCGGAAUCGCUAGUAAUCGCAGGUCAGCAUACUGCGGUGAAUACGUUCCCGGGCCUU